rnacentral:rRNA from 1 species
UGAGGAAUAUUGGUCAAUGGACGUGAGUCUGAACCAGCCAAGUCGCGUGAAGGAAGAAGGUUCUAUGGAUUGUAAACUUCUUUUAUACGGGAAUAAAGUGCAGCACGUGUGCUGUUUUGUAUGUACCCUAUGAAUAAGCAUCGGCUAACUCCGUGCCAGCAGCCGCGGUAAUACGGAGGAUGCGAGCGUUAUCCGGAUUUAUUGGGUUUAAAGGGUGCGUAGGUGGCUGUUUAAGUCAGCGGUGAAAGUUUGUGGCUCAACCAUAAAAUUGCCGUUGAAACUGGGUAGCUUGAGUAUGUUUGAGGUAGGCGGAAUGCGUGGUGUAGCGGUGAAAUGCAUAGAUAUCACGCAGAACUCCAAUUGCGAAGGCAGCUUACUAAACCAUAACUGACACUGAAGCACGAAAGCGUGGGGAUCAAACAGGAUUAGAUACC